CCUACGGGUGGCAGCAGUGAGGAAUAUUGGUCAAUGGACGGAAGGCUGAACCAGCCAAGCCGCGUGAAGGACGAAGGUGACCAGCAUUGUAAACGUCUUUUGUCAAGGGACAAAAUCAGGCUCGAGAGCCUGACCGAGGGGACUUGAAGAAAAAGCAUAGGCUAACGCCGUGCCAGCAGCCGCGGUAAGACGGAGGAUGCGAGCGUUAUCCGGAUUUAUUGGGUUUAAAGGGUUCGUAGGCGGACUGUUAAGUCAGCGGUAAAAGCCCGGGGCUCAACCCCGGCGAGCCGUUGAAACUGGCUGUCGUGAGAUGUCGAGAGGUAUGCGGAAUGCGCAGUGUAGCGGUGAAAUGCUUAGAUAUUGCGCAGAACUCCGAUGGCGAAGGCAGCAUACCGGCGGCGAUCUGACGCUGAGGCACGAAAGCGUGGGUAUCGAACAGGAUUAGAUACCCCUGUAGUC
rnacentral:rRNA from 1 species